rnacentral:rRNA from 1 species
UACGUAGGGGGCAAGCGUUGUCCGGAUUUAUUGGGCGUAAAGAGCGUGUAGGCGGCCAGACAGGUCCGUUGUGAAAACUCGAGGCUCAACCUCGAGACGUCGAUGGAAACCGUCUGGCUAGAGUCCGGAAGAGGAGUGUGGAAUUCCUGGUGUAGCGGUGAAAUGCGCAGAUAUCAGGAAGAACACCGAUGGCGAAGGCAGCCCCCUGGGAUAAUACUGACGCUCAUGCACGAAAGCGUGGGGAGCAAACAGG